UGUCGUUUGUUUAUGUGUUACAUAUUUGUUUUUCGUUCAUUUUUUUUUUACAUAAAUAAGGCCAUUAGUUUUCUCGUUUGAAUUGUUUUACAUUAUCUUAUCGGGGCCUUUUAUAGCUCACUGUGCGGUAUGGGCUUUGCUCAUUGUCGAAGGCCGUACGGUGACCUACAGUUGUUAAUGUCUGUGUCAUUUUGGUCUUUUGUGGAUAGUUGUCUCAUUGGCAAUCAUACCACAUCUUCUUUUUUAUAUUGAAAUAUACCAACUAUUUUUUCACCUUUUUCAUUC
rnacentral:lncRNA from 1 species